GUUGCCACAAGAAGUAACCCACCACAGCAAGAAGCAGCAGCAAGAUGGGCAGGGUCCCUGCCAGGGCGGCGAUCCAGGGCUGGGCGCUCCUGAAGAAGGGGUCUGCAAAGGGACGGUCUGUGGGCCGGGGGGCCUGUGGCUCUGUCUUCCCAGCCUGCAGCACCUCGAGCUUUAGCUGCUCCCCCCAGGGUGGGGGUACGGAACCUGUGUCAUGAGGGUAAACAAUCUUUCUCUUCCUAAAGUCUCAGACAACUUUGGAUAAGACUUUGGCCUGUGUGGCGUUUCCUUGUAUGGAAGUUCCGUAUCAGUGAACAUUUGUAUAGUUUCCUAACCUCGUGCAGUCAUAAUGAGUGCUGUAAGAAACAGCCUUUUACAUGGAUCAUCUCCCACAAGUGUAAGCUUAUGUAUCAGAUAAAUCCCCAGAAGUGGACUUUUGGAUCAAUAAAUAUGUGGUGCGAAUAGAUAUUGCACUAUAGCCCCCAAUAGAGGUUCUGCUUAUGUAUACCGAGGAUACAAGAAAUGACACAGCAAAUGCCUGAGAGUUACUGCCUCCCUGCAUCCUGCCAUCAGAAUGUGUUAUCAGUUACUGGUUUUGCUUGUUUUUUGCCAAUGUCAUAAGUGAAAAAUGCUUUAAUAUACAUUUCUCUGAUAAGCGA